UGGGGAAUUUUGGACAAUGGGCGAAAGCCUGAUCCAGCAAUGCCGCGUGUGUGAAGAAGGCCUUCGGGUUGUAAAGCACUUUUGUCCGGAAAGAAAUCCUUGGCUCUAAUACAGUCGGGGGAUGACGGUACCGGAAGAAUAAGCACCGGCUAACUACGUGCCAGCAGCCGCGGUAAUACGUAGGGUGCAAGCGUUAAUCGGAAUUACUGGGCGUAAAGCGUGCGCAGGCGGUUUGCUAAGACCGAUGUGAAAUCCCCGGGCUCAACCUGGGAACUGCAUUGGUGACUGGCAGGCUAGAGUAUGGCAGAGGGGGGUAGAAUUCCACGUGUAGCAGUGAAAUGCGUAGAGAUGUGGAGGAAUACCGAUGGCGAAGGCAGCCCCCUGGGCCAAUACUGACGCUCAUGCACGAAAGCGUGGGGAGCAAACAGGAUUAGAUACCCUGGUAGUCCACGCCCUAAACGAUGUCAACUAGUUGUUGGGGACUUCAUUUCCUUAGUAACGUAGCUAACGCGUGGAAGUUGACCGCCUGGGGAGUACGGUCGCAA
rnacentral:rRNA from 1 species